CAUCUGAUACUGGCAAGCUUGAGUCUCGUAGAGGGGGGUAGAAUUCCAGGUGUAGCGGUGAAAUGCGUAGAGAUCUGGAGGAAUACCGGUGGCGAAGGCGGCCCCCUGGACGAAGACUGACGCUCAGGUGCGAAAGCGUGGGGAGCAAACAGGAUUAGAUACCCUGGUAGUCCACGCCGUAAACGAUGUCGACUUGGAGGUUGUGCCCUUGAGGCGUGGCUUCCGGAGCUAACGCGUUAAGUCGACCGCCUGGGGAGUACGGCCGCAAGGUUAAAACUCAAAUGAAUUGACGGGGGCCCGCACAAGCGGUGGAGCAUGUGGUUUAAUUCGAUGCAACGCGAAGAACCUUACCUGGUCUUGACAUCCACGGAAGUUUUCAGAGAUGAGAAUGUGCCUUCGGGAACCGUGAGACAGGUGCUGCAUGGCUGUCGUCAGCUCGUGUUGUGAAAUGUUGGGUUAAGUCCCGCAACGAGCGCAACCCUUAUCCUUUGUUGCCAGCGGUCCGGCCGGGAACUCAAAGGAGACUGCCAGUGAUAAACUGGAGGAAGGUGGGGAUGACGUCAAGUCAUCAUGGCCCUUACGACCAGGGCUACACACGUGCUACAAUGGCGCAUACAAAGAGAAGCGACCUCGCGAGAGCAAGCGGACCUCAUAAAGUGCGUCGUAGUCCGGAUUGGAGUCUGCAACUCGACUCCAUGAAGUCGGAAUCGCUAGUAAUCGUGGAUCAGAAUGCCACGGUGAAUACGUUCCCGGGCCUUGUACACACCGCCCGUCACACCAUGGGAGUGGGUUGCAAAAGAAGUAGGUAGCUUAACCUUCGGGAGGGCGCUUACCACUUUGUGAUUCAUGACUGGGGUGAAGUCGUAACAAGGUAACCGUAGGGGAACCUGCGGUUGGAUCACCUCCUUACCUUAAAGAAGC
rnacentral:rRNA from 1 species